UUUCUGUAGACAACAGACAUGGGCAGCCACUGGAACACUACAGGGUACCCUCUGUUUAUGGGACCUGCCAACACAGAUUUUUCGAAGCUCCUGUCAACAUGAGGCAGGUGUAGUCAGACUUAAGUGGGAUCCCACUGCCCCCCUGGUAUACACUGCGUGUCUGGACGGUGUUGUGCGUCUGUGGGACAGUCGCAUUGGUCAGUGUGUCAACCAGUGGUCCAGUCACACAGACUGCAUACUGGACCUGGACUUGUCAAGGUAAUGUAUACACGCUUGUAUUUAAUAAAAUCUCUCCAGGCACAGGAUCAUGUGACGGCUAUAAUACUAGUCCGAGGUUCACAUAACAAUUUUGGACUCAAAACCAAAUUUUAAAUGUCAACAAGAUACAGAGGAUAUUCUAGGUUUUAAUGUUAAUUAAUAACAGGUACGGUAGUUCACGUCUGGGUCAAGCAUGUUGGUGUUUUGCGAGAGUGAAAAAUAUUCUCUCUCAGAUUUCGCAUUCUUCCUAUCAUAUGAUGACUCAAAUUCAAGAUAGAAACAAUAAGAUAUAUGAGUUACUUUAAAAUUGUGACUCAGACAUUUGGAUACAUGAUAGUCUCUCUUACCAAAUUUCUGUGAAAAGUUUUUUUCACGAACUGUAAGCUAUUGACAAUACGUAUGAAAUAGAACUAGU